rnacentral:rRNA from 1 species
GACGAACGCUGGCGGCGCGCCUAACACAUGCAAGUCGAACGGAGCGGCGAGGAGCUUGCUUUUCGUAGGUUAGUGGCGCACGUGUGAGUAACGCGUGAGUAACGUGCUCUGGUGUGGGGGACAACAAGGGGAAACGACUGCUAAUACCGCAUAAGCCCACGAUCCGGCGUGGGGGUGGGGGAAAAGGAGUUAUUCGGGUCAGGAUCGACGCGCGUCAAAUUGGCGAGGUGGUGGGGUAACGGCCCAGCAAGGAGAGGAUUGGGAGCCGGGCUGGGAGGUGGAACGGCCACAUCUGGACUGAGACACGGCCCCGACUCCUACGGGAGGGAGGAGUGGGGUAUAUUGCACAAGGGGGGCAGCUCCGAUGCCGCGGCGUCGCGUGGAAGAAGAAGCUUUUCGGAUUGUAAACUCCCGUCGUUCGGGACGUUAGUGACGGUACCUAAUAAGAAAGCACCGGCUAACUACGUG